rfam:Azoarcus sp. BH72, complete genome
CCUGCCGAGGAGCGCUGCGACCCGAAAUCACGCCGGGCCAGGCUCGGCAACCGAACAACGGCGCUCGCAAACC